UAGGAAUCUUCCACAAUGGACGCAAGUCUGAUGGAGCAACGCCGCGUGAGUGAAGAAGGUUUUCGGACCGUAAAGCUCUGUUGUUGGUGAAGAAGGAUAGAGGUAGUAACUGGCCUUUAUUUGACGGUAAUCAACCAGAAAGUCACGGCUAACUACGUGCCAGCAGCCGCGGUAAUACGUAGGUGGCAAGCGUUGUCCGGAUUUAUUGGGCGUAAAGCGAGCGCAGGCGGAAGAAUAAGUCUGAUGUGAAAGCCCUCGGCUUAACCGAGGAAUUGCAUCGGAAACUGUUUUUCUUGAGUGCAGAAGAGGAGAGUAGAACUCCAUGUGUAGCGGUGGAAUGCGUAGAUAUAUGGAAGAAUACCAGUGGCGAAGGCGGCUCUCUGGUCUGCAACUGACGCUGAGGCUCGAAAGCAUGGGUAGCGAACAGGAUUAGAUACCCUGGUAGUCCAUGCCGUAAACGAUGAGUGCUAAGUGUUGGGAGGCUUCCGCCUCUCAGUGCUGCAGCUAACGCAUUAAGCACUCCGCCUGGGGGAGUACGACCGCAAGGUUGAAAC
rnacentral:rRNA from 1 species